rnacentral:tRNA from 1 species
GUCUUUGUAGCUUACAAAAAGCAUGACACUGAAGAUGUCAAGACGGCCGUUGCACACACGCCCGAAGACA